ensembl:lncRNA
CGCCAGCCCCCCAGCCCGCCACGCGCUACUUCCCGGCCGGCCCUCCGCCCCCCCCCACCCCCCCCGGCCCCGUUCCCUAGAAAUGCAGCCGAGGCGCGGGGAAGAGGGGACGCGGUUUUGGCGGGGGGGGAAGAGAUUCUUUUUGUUCUGUUGGGGGACAGCUUUGGUUUGUUGUUUUCCAGUUUCUUUUUUUCUUCCCCCCCCCUCCCCCUUGCACACAAAAUAAGUGAAGAAGAUGUGGCAAGGUGUGGCCGCGCCGUCGGGGCCGAGGAAUCUCUGGCACCGCGGGAGCAGCAGCCCACACCAGGAUGUAAGAAGCCAGAAAAAGACACGAAUUAGCAGAGUGACAUGUAGGCUUUAAAAACCUCUGCCCGCUGUUGGUCCUUAGACUCGCCCUCAACAGAGCAGCGCUCUUCAUU